CAGCAAUGCCUUGAGGUUCUGGUACUGUUGGCCUCCAAAGCAACACACAGUAUAUCCCAUUCCCUAUGGCUCACCAGGGAGGCAGCUAAUGCUGUGGAUGCCAGUCAGAAGUCCCAGCUCAGACUAGGCGCGGAGCCUGUUUCAACGGGGCCUUCCAGCUCCCCUGGGUCUCCUGCCAACUCUGCUUUCAUCUGCUCUAGGCCCUUCUCCCAAAGGUCACCAGAGUCCACAGGGUAAUGGCUCUGUCAACAGGUGUCUGUGUGGGGGCUCAGUGCCUCAGUUUCCCCAUCAAAAUAUAAUAUGCAGGGGUUGGAUCCAAGAUCUAAGGUCCAUGAAGACGUUCAAGGCCACUGUGUCGUGGUUAACAAAAGUUAUUAAAAAUCAGGGAAUUAAGAGAGCGGCAAUUUGAAUAAA